rnacentral:rRNA from 1 species
GACGAACGCUGGCGGCGUGCUUAACACAUGCAAGUCGAACGGAGUGGCGAACGGGUGAGUAACACGUGGGUGAUCUGCCUUGCACUUCGGGAUAAGCUUGGGAAACUGGGUCUAAUACCGGAUAGUGCAAGAUGAGCACGCGGCCUAUCAGCUUGUUGGUGGGGUAAUGGCCUACCAAGGCGUGGACGGGUAGCCGGCCGGGGAGGGUGUACGGUCACAUUGAGAAUGAGAUACGGCCGAGACGCCUACGGGAGGCAGCGGUGGGGAAUAUUGCACAAUGGGCGGAAGCCUGAUGCAGCGACGCCGCGUGGGGGAUGAAGGCCUUCGGGUUGUAAACACCUUACGACAGGAACGCGGUACCUAUAAAAGAAGCACCGGCUAACUACGUGCCAGCAGCCGCGGUAAUA